UACGUAGGUCCCGAGCGUUGUCCGGAUUUAUUGGGCGUAAAGCGAGCGCAGGUGGUUUAUUAAGUCUGGUGUAAAAGGCAGUGGCUCAACCAUUGUAUGCAUUGGAAACUGGUAGACUUGAGUGCAGGAGAGGAGAGUGGAAUUCCAUGUGUAGCGGUGAAAUGCAUAGAUAUAUGGAGGAACACCGGUGGCGAAAGCGGCUCUCUGGACUGUAACUGACACUGAGGCACGAAAGCGUGGGGAGCAAACAGG
rnacentral:rRNA from 1 species